rnacentral:sRNA from 1 species
UGCUCCGCAGGAGGAACGAGUCGUCGCGCUGCAAGUUGGUCGGCGCGCUCGCCUGCGCUCGCGACGUCGCGACGAUGUACCGCCUGGACCGCGGCUGCACGACGCCCCUGUCCGGCACCGCGCGGUACUUGGACUCGUCCACCUGCACGGCGAACGCCACGCGAUCGGCGGACCUGUUCGUCAGCUGCAGCACGCAGGAUACAUCCCUGUCCUUCUCAAAUGGGAAGCGCACCUCCAGAGGGAGGAAAAUACGCAAUUUUCUGGUGAAUUAGACAUAACCGCGAUGUCGUGAUGGCGAAUGUCACGUUACCUGGCCUAUAAGUGCCUUCCUCACAUUUUCUAACUCGUUCAGUUUAUCAAUAAUCUCCCUCAGAGUAGGCCUUUUCUUUCGGUCGGGUUCUACACACCUUACAGCUAUUUCGAUGCAUGUCUUGACUUCUAGGCUAUCUGCCUCAUGUGAUGAUGUAUGACUCGAAAUUUCCUGCAUCCUCUUUUUCCAUUUCUCUUUAUCAAUAAAUUGUUGGGGAGACAUUUCAGCACUUGUAGAACGGCCCGAUUGUCCUGCCAUUAUCUCUAUGAUUAUAACACCCAAACUGAAUACAUCAAACUUCAUUGAGAUAUGGCGUCUCUCAAUGUAUUCUGGCGGCAUGUACCCACUGCAUGUUUUCUUGUCGUAAAAGUUUGUGUUGAACCAAAGAGUCUUGACAAACCGAAAUCAGCAAUUUUUGGCAUUUUGUUCUCAUCCAGUAAUAUAUUAGCAGGUUUCAAGUCCAAAUGAACAAUUUGAUCUUCUGGACGACCAUUGUGAAGGUAAUCUAAACCCUCACAAAUCCCCUUGAUUAUUUUGUAACGUGUGUGCCAAUCAAGUCCACAUGUUUCAUCUAAAGAUACUUGUCAAGGCUUCCACGGUGCAAAUAUUCGAAGCAAAGUGCUCUUUCUUCCAUUCUAGAAAAAUGGUAAUCUCCAUCCACCUUGAUAUGUUUGUGUCGUAUUUCAUAGCAGUAUCCAACUAACCCUAUAAUAUUCUUAUGCUGGACCCUCAUAAGGUUAUUAAAUUCUUUCUUAAAUUGCACAUCGUCCAGUCCUACCAUUUGAUGUAGCUUCUUGAUAGCAAUCUCUGUUAUGAACCAUACCUUGUAAACAACUCCAUACCCACCACUGCCAACUUUGUGCUCCUCAGAGAAACCAUUUGUAAUUUCUUC